rnacentral:snRNA from 1 species
AUACUUUUCUCGGCCUUUUGGCUAAGAUCAAGUGUAGUAUUUGUUCUUAUCAAUUUAAGGGGGAUUGGAAAAAGAUCACACCUUCCUAAAACAUCAAAUAUAUCUCACUGGGAAGCUCAAACAUAA